GUUUAUUUCAUAGCUAUAGUGAUGGAUUUCAAUGUUGAUAUUAUAAGAAUUUAAUUAGAACUGGAAAAUUGCCUGCUGGUGUGCCCUGAAGACCUUGUUUGGAACCACAGUAAGAAACAGGCAUAUCUGCACAAUAUAGUCACCAGGGUUUAUCCGGUCCUGUAGUACACCCCCAUCUACUAGAGUUUAGAAAAAUAGUAUAGAAAUCCUCCAGUUUACUCCAUAGCAAUAAAACUAUUAAU